AAGCACGCACAUGUAUUUACUAAAAAUUGAAAAGACAUAUUUAAUAUUAAUAUAAUUAUAUAUUUUCUUAGGCAUCUACUCUUCAUGCAUAUCCGGUCGUUAGCAUUGUCUCUCUCUUCAGGUAUAAGUUGGAUGGGAGAAAUUCCAGGGGCAGCAUUAGCCUCUUUGGUCGAAUGGAGAAGUCCCAUAAUAUGGUCUAUAAAUGCUGGUAUAAGUCUAGUGUUUGCUCUUUAUAUGGGAAAAUCGCAAAA
rnacentral:lncRNA from 1 species